AAAUGACUACAACCGCACAGACCGGGUUUUAAAGCAUCUGCUGCCCGUGAUGGCGAGUCUGAGUUCCUAA
rnacentral:sRNA from 2 species